UCCUGGUAAUACACAGUAAGCACUGGGGCUUUGCUGUAGGUGGAAUGAGGAGUCUGGGAGAGUUUUGAGUAGGCCUGACAGUUCCUGUCUUCAUUGUGAAGCCAUCACCUGGGCUGAACAUGGAGGACUGGCUGACCCAGGAAGCAGAGUGGAAACAGAGCAACUAUGAGACCACUGCAGUGCCCAGGAUCCAAUCCCGGAUCACACGUUGCAUGUUAACUACAUCUCCAAUUUGAGACAAGGCCUCAGUCUUUCUUUGUCUUCCAUGACUCGACACUUCUGAACAGUAUUAGGAAAGCUGCAUACAAGGAUUGAAGAGCCAGGUGAGUGCCUCAGAAAGCCUGCCUAUGGCAAUGAUGCUUGUCUUGCAAUGCCAGAAUCAUUUCUAGAGCAUGCCACUUUCAUGGCAUACUGAUAAAGUCUUAGUAAAACCAAAUUAUUCCUAAUACAUUUUUUAGUAUUGAAGGUGGGGCUGACUUUGCUAACUGAUAUGAAGCCAGGAUGAUCACAUGAAUGUGGGUGUGCUAAGCCCAAAUGCUACCUAUGUGUGAAAGCACUUUUGAGUAUCUUAAUUCUUUUUAUGUUUUUGUCAAUUUGCUCCAAGUCCUGGUUUAUCUCUCAGCUUUCUGCUAACUUACAUUAUAUUCAGCU